CUGUCACAGCCCCUUGAGCAGCUCCUUAGGCAAGACUCGACCCUGAUGCCUCAGGACUUCAGCUUUUAUGUUUUUCAUCUAUUUGUAAUACUGCAGUUCUUUAGUGUGGAACUCUAAACUCCACACACAGUGUGAGCUGCUGCUUUCCCCUUUUGGGCAGACACAACAAUUCCUCUCCAGGCCUGGAAUCAAGGACACCUCACUGCCUCAGGCCCCAAGAGAUGGAAACAAAAGAGUUGGAGCAGCAAACUUGGGGCCAUCACCAGUGGCUUUAACACCACUGCUCACAAAACAAGGAGCCACUGCUGAGGGAGGGAGCAGAGGUGUCUCCUGCAGCAACAACAGAUAAAUCACCAAGUCCAGUCCACUUCCAGGCCAGUUUCCUCUUCUGAUUAUUACAAUCUUUUCUGGUUUUCCUCAACAACGUACUCAGUAGGAAUUCUGUGUGUAUGACUUCAAGCCAUAAAAUCUUCUUUCUCAUUCCUUCUUCGUCUCCUGGAUGAAAAUGCACAAAACAAUCUGAACAUCUGCAGGAGCUGUGUGUGACCUCCCAUCCUGAUGCUCCUCCUCUGGAACCUGCCCUAACAAGCCUUGUGCUCUGAUGGAUGAAACUGAAACAAUUCCCUCUUCCCAACAAAUUGAGACCCUCAAAGGGAUCCCAUCUCUUUUCAGAUGGCCCAGGUUUUGCUCACAAAACCUUGGCUUUCAUCUUGGCUAGCAGUAAUUCCAAAGGAAGGAAAACACCAAAGUAUUGUGGUCUGUCUGGAAUAUGAAAGACACUUUCUGCAGCUUCUUUGAUGUCUCAUGAAAGAAAACUGAAAGAAUACAAAUGCAAUAUCAUUAAAACAUGUUACUAAUCCUGCAGGAAUGGAGAGGCUUGAGCAUUAGAAAUUUUUGCUCAAUGCUACUUCAAACUAUGAUUUGUAAUCUAUUAAGGAGACUGUCAUGAGUAAUGGCUUGCAAUGUGACAAUGAAUUUUAAACUUUCUCAAGUGAAAUAUGGAUGACAAUUUUUUUUACACCAUUUGGAAAUAACUUCAAGUAGCAGUUGCUGGUUAGAGAACAAAAAGCCAAAUGGCAUGGUUUAGAUACACAGAAAAUGGAAGAUAAUGAUGCAUGAAAUAAAUGGAAAAGAAUUGAGGAAAACCCUGGAAAGAGGAAGGGCAGAAGAGUUUGACCCACCAGUGAGCCUGGUUCUAUUUCUAUGGAAAUGAGCUCAUUACUGCUAAUUUUUUUUUUAAGCUCCUACUUGAUUCGUGAAGUGCUGUUUGAAUUUCGAUAAGGGCUUCAUGAAUCACUGAAAAAAAACCAUUUGAACAAAAUAUCCAGAGUCAAAUGAUUACCAAUCCCAUAGAUUAAUCAGCUGUCUGAGCACUCCAUACAGCAGAGCAGCACCAGGAGAGCCAGCUUUUCCCCUGGCACCGCCAGUCCAUAGUGCUCCAUCCUGCAAAGAAGAGGGAUUGUCUUUCUGAAAUCCAAUGCUGGAUGGUUACUCCAUCCAAGAGCCUGCACUAAAAAGAAAAGAUGUCUUUGAUGUUUUUUCCCCCUGCUAUUUCCAUGUUUGUUCUGUUUUAAAAAUCAGCAUCCCAAGCAUUGGGCCUGGAAUUGCCUCUCAUCCCUGAGAAGCAGGAGGCUCUGUGGUGCCGCCACGUGUGUCACCCCUCAGCAUUGGCUGGGACACCCCAGGGUGCAGGGAACUGCUCCAGCCCAGAGCACGGCCUCCUCCUAAACCUCCAGCAUGCUGAAAUAAA